CUUGUCGAGAAACUGACUGAAGAAAAUCAAAUCGAGAAAUUUACUAAAAGCGGACUCGAUUAAUUCGAAACGAUGAUGAAACUAUUUCGAAGCUUUAAUCUCGUAUCAAUUAAAUUUAGAUUUAAAAGCGUACGAAAGUCGAGGCGUAUAACAUUCGAAACGCAACUAUUUACAAUAAUUACACUGCUUAUACGCGAUAUGAGAUACGUUGAACUUUGCGAAGUGAUAAUGUGUAUAACUAUUCCGCGAAUGAGUCAUCGUACCACGUAUCUCGAGAACGGCCUUUCUAAACUCUUUGACGUCAACUAUAAUUCUGAGCUCUAACAGGUAAUAUGUGUAGUAUAUCCAUAAACCUUUCCGUCAACCUUGUCACACUUAUCCAUGCUAAUAAAACGCCAAGUAGAUCUGUUUACCAAGCGAAUUAACGAAUCGUUGUGUUUGAGAAGAGGAAGAAAUAAUUGCAGGCGACGUUUCGUGGCAAAAAACGACACAGGAAGCGGAGGAUCGUGACCUGAAUCUCGUAAUCUCGGGUCUUUUACCUCGAGUCACUUCUUAAUUCGAGGUUCAAACAGGCAGACAAGCCAAAAAUUCUCGUCGUUCGCGGAGAGGCUACCAUCGAUGGGAGAUUGUUUUGAGAUCACGCGGGGCUGGUGUGAACGAAAGUGAAAGCUGCCAAGAUGGAUCGUCUAACGUGGUAGACUCCGACGCAGACGAAGUAUCAAAUCGGCCAGUCCACGAAGCCACGAAAUAGUAGAACACAGAGUUCUUUUUUAAUCGCGCUUUGAUCGAGUCUACGCGAGGUCUUGCAACAGAGUUCAUCUUGAGACGAUCAGUGAUCCACAAACCGAAGAUCUGAAGAUUCAGAUUAGUCAAGUUACCUGUAUUCAAACUUGUGUUCAUACGGGUACAAUAAUAGCGCGAUGAAAACAGUAUAAUUGCGAAUUAAAGCAUAGCAGAGCCAUUCGUGUCAACAGACAGUGAUAUGGCAAACGCAAAAUUGCACAAUUUCGAGUUAGAGCAUGGCUGGUCAAGCAUAACUGGAGUGGUUGGCAAAGACUUAACACGUAGGCUGUGAUAAUGAGCUGCACGAUGUGGGUCAAACUUCAUGAAUGAUAUCCUAGAAGCUCUGAAGGGAACACGGGCCUGACUUUUGCAAGUCUUGAGUUUAACAAAAAGCUCCAAACAUCCGUUGAAUGCGUUCUUCGACAUUAGAAAUCCCAGAAAUCUGAUUUCUCGAUUCUUUAAAAGUUUGCAAACGAAGCUUCUUUUCGAAGAGCUUUAUCCUGCAUAGAGUUAAUCCUAAGAAAUGAUUUAACGCAAGUCGAACUAAAUUGCACUAUUGGAUGCAAAAAGACCUCGGGGUAUGUAAGCUCUUUUUGUGCAAAACGCGUAAAUAAAGUAAGAACUUUGACGUGCUCCUUAAAUUUUAUUUUCCUAUAUCUAAAAUCGCCGACGCCACAGUAAAUUUUGAGAAUUGAUAUUGCCUUCAGAACGGAAAUAGUCAAUUUUCAAAUAGAGAUAGUUUUAUUUUUUAACGAUGUAAUAAGAUAACGAAGAAUUGAGAAUGGAUAAUUUGCAGAAUAAUUAUCUUCUGCUAUCAGACACGAGAAAUAUGUGCAUUAUUGUUGCGAUUGUUUAUAGAAAGCAAAAUAUUCAUUGCGUUACAUAUGGUGACAUUUAAAAUAUGGAACUUAUACCGUGCAAAGUUUAAAAUAAGUUCACUACAGGUUCUAAAAGCUUACGGUUGACAUUGAAGUUCUGCUUGUAUUCAACAGUAGAAUUGUUAAUGACUGACCUAUCUCAAUCAUGAGGAUUCGCGAACCUUUCCGAUCGACAAAUACAACAUGAUCGAUUAGUCGAGUGGUAUAUACAACGAUGGAAUGGAUCGGUGAAAGGCCAGUCAGCCAACCAGAUCAACUGCAAUUGCACAGUAUAUUGCACUAUGAUCACCCACGGUUUGACAAAGUGAACACACAUAAAUCUCUUGCCAUUCGAUAGGUGAUAAUGGACCAUGUACCGACAA